CAGGUGCACAAGAAGGGUUCCUUCAAAACCCUAAAACCCACAAAUUCAACAAAAUCAAAGGGAAAUAGAGCUAGAGAAUUGGGGCUUUAACUAAAUUCGUGAUCACCUCAGUAAAGGGAUCAUAAGACAAAGGAAUCGAGUCUUUAAGCGGACAAACCGGAGUGGACACGCGCUUGAAGGGAAUGCUUUAAAGGUGAAUGUCGAGGGUCCCGGAUAAAGAUCAAGCAUCGAGCAAGAACCAAACACACGUUAAACAAAGCUUCCGCAAUGUUGUUUCGCCGUUAUUCUAAAACGGCGAAUUAAACCACAUCAUGUUGUAUCACCUUAAAUUGUAAAAGUUUUUAAUAAACCGGUAUUUUAGCAUGAAUGUUUAUAUACAAUUACUCAGUAAUUGUGAUUAUUUUUUUGGAAAUCGCUAAAUAAAACUAUGGUUGUUACAAGUUGGUAUCAGAGCCUUGGUUUAAGAGAUUCAAGUAUGGUGGGGAAAACCAUGCUUGGACUUAAACCUUAUGCUCUUGACAAAGAUUGGUGUUCGGUUCGAAGUUUGAUCGCAAAUCC